ensembl:snoRNA
GCGCUGCCUUUGGGCCCCCGCUGCGCAUGUCCGUGGUGUCGGUGGGUCAAGCUGCAGCACCAGAGAACUUGUUCUUUUAACCACGAGCAACACGG